GUGCUUGCUUCAGCAGCACAUAUUCUAAAAUUGGAAGAAUACAGAGAAGAUUAGCAAGGCCCCUAUGCAAAGAUGACACACAAAUUCAUGAAGCAUUCCAUAUUUUU